rnacentral:rRNA from 1 species
CCUACGGGUGGCAGCAGUGGGGAAUAUUGCGCAAUGGGCGAAAGCCUGACGCAGCGACGCCGCGUGAGGGAUGAAGGUCUUCGGAUCGUAAACCUCUGUCAGCAGGGAAGAACGGUCACUGUGCUAAUCAGCAGUGAAUUGACGGUACCUGCAAAGGAAGCACCGGCUAACUCCGUGCCAGCAGCCGCGGUAAUACGGAGGGUGCGAGCGUUAAUCGGAUUUACUGGGCGUAAAGCGCGCGUAGGCGGUAUGUCAAGUCAAGGGUGAAAUCCCCGCGCUCAACGUGGGAACUGCCGUUGAAACUGGUGAACUUGAGUGUGUGAGAGGAGAGUGGAAUUCCAGGUGUAGGAGUGAAAUCCGUAGAUAUCUGGAAGAACAUCAGUGGCGAAGGCGACUAUCUGGCACACAACUGACGCUGAGGAGCGAAAGCGUGGGUAGCAAACAGGAUUAGAUACCCUUGUAGUC